UGGGAGUCAGGAAAAGCUCAAUGUACCCAGAGCUGAAGUAUGGAAAAGCCCCAGCUCUGUAAUAAGUCAGGGUCAGGAGUGUGGUGGAUUUUCCCUCUUAUAAUUUAGGUUAAAGAGCUCUGCUAGGAGUAUCAGGACGUCCUGCCAAGCUGUAGACUGAUCACACGUGUAGUGGGUGUCCCUGUGUCAAGAAGGUCUUCCAGGAGGAGCCGGAGAUGCGUGGGGUCUACUCUUGAGGGGGCUAGAUCCCGUACGUUCUUAUAGAGCCAAGAGCAGCUCUAUGCACCGUUCAAGGGCAAGGGGAAAUGAUACAAAAUUGUAUGAUUUUCCUUAUGGAAAGUCCCCUCUGUCCAAGAUGUGGAAAAAGGAUUGUGGGGAGAGACAAGUCUGACUAUCAAGAAACUUACUGGAGACAUCCAUUCUGGUGAUGAGUAAUGGAACUAACACAGAGACACUGGGGACGGAGAGGCAAU